AUUGAACGCUGGCGGCAGGCCUAACACAUGCAAGUCGAGCGAGCGGCGGAGGGGGGAGGAAAGUCGGGGAAAAUGCCUGAUGGAGGGGGAUAACUACAGGAAACGGUAGAUAAUAACGCAUAACAUCCGAUGUGGCCAGAUGGGAUUGGCUAGUAGGUGGGGGAACGGCUCACCUCGGCGACGAUCCCUAGCUGGUCUGAGAGGAUGACCAGCCACACUGGAACUGAGACACGGUCCAGACUCCUACGGGAGGCAGCAGUGGGGAAUAUUGCACAAUGGGCGCAAGCCUGAUGCAGCCAUGCCGCGUGUGUGAAGAAGGCCUUCGGGUUGUAAAGCUCUUUCAGCGGGGAGGCGUUACCCGCAGAAGAAGCACCGGCUAACUCCGUGCCAGCAGCCGCGGUAAUAC
rnacentral:rRNA from 1 species